UUUCUGCCCUCAGGGAGGUAGAAAUCUAAAGCAGAAACGGAGAAAGUAUCCAAUUAAGAUAGAGCAGAAGUUCUUAGCCUGGGGUCCCAGGAAUGUAUUUCAAUGGAUCCUUCAGCCUCUUGAAAUUGAAGGGCCAGGCAGAUAUGAUCAGAGGAGUUUGACGCACCCUCAGAAGAAUAUUCCUCUGGAAGGAGAAACUCAAGAAUGUGUCUUCCCGGGACAUUAAGUUAGAAGGAAUUUUGGUGUAUAGGACUUAGAAUCAGAAGACCUGGAUUCGCAUUCCAACUCUGCUUCUUUCUAAGCAACAUGAGUUCAGGUAAUUGAUUUCACC